rnacentral:rRNA from 2 species
AACGAACGCUGGCGGCAGGCUUAACACAUGCAAGUCGAACGCACCUUCGGGUGAGUGGCAGACGGGUGAGUAACGCGUGGGAACCUUCCCUAUGGUACGGAAUAGCUCCGGGAAACUGGAAUUAAUACCGUAUAAGCCCUUCGGGGGAAAGAUUUAUCGCCAUAGGAUGGGCCCGCGUCGGAUUAGCUAGUUGGUAGGGUAAUGGCCUACCAAGGCAACGAUCCGUAGCUGGUCUUAGAGGAUGAUCAGCCACACUGGGACUGAGACACGGCCCAGACUCCUACGGGAGGCAGCAGUGGGGAAUAUUGGACAAUGGGCGAAAGCCUGAUCCAGCCAUGCCGCGUGAGUGACGAAGGCCUUAGGGUUGUAAAACUCUUUUGGCGGGGACGAUAAUGACGGUACCCGCAGAAUAAGCCCCGGCUAACUUCGUG